UGAGGAAUAUUGGUCAAUGGGCGAGAGCCUGAACCAGCCACGUCGCGUGAAGGAAGACUGACCUUACGGUUUGUAAACUUCUUUUGUAGAGGGGUAAUGGCAGAUACGUGUAGUUGCGUGAAAGUACUCUACGAAUAAGCAUCGGCUAACUCCGUGCCAGCAGCCGCGGUAAUACGGGGGAUGCGAGCGUUAACCGGAAUUAUUGGGUUUAAAGGGUGCGCAGGUGGCUAAUCAGGUCAGUGGUGAAAAGCUAUGGCUCAACCAUGGUCUUGCCAUUGAAACCGUAUAGCUAGAGAGGUGAGGAGGUAGGCGGAAUGUGUGGUGUAGCGAUGAAAUGCAUAGAUAUCACACAGACCUCCGAUUGCGAAGGCAGCUUACCAAGCUUUAUCUGACACUUAGGCACGACAGCGUGGGGAUCAAACAGG
rnacentral:rRNA from 1 species